GUGUCAUCUGCUUUUCAGUCCUUCAAAGUGACAGAAGUCUGCCCACCCAGCCAUAGAGAGAGGACGGGUCAUUUUUCAGGGACAACCAAUCACUGCUACAUCACCCACAGAUGUGAGCGAUUAGGAGUUAAAAUGAGUCAGUAGAUGCCACUGAUGAUACGGGCUAUAACGGACACGUUACUACGUGGGAACCUUUCUGUGGUGUUUUAUUACUUGCCAAA